AUCCCAUGAUGAGGACACUUCUAAAGUAACUCCUUGAAUCACUCCCAAGCCUCACACAAAGACUCGUCAUCUAGUUGCUAGAAAGUUGUGAUCUCGUUCCUCAACUU
rfam:Gossypium raimondii Chr13_contig_407, whole genome shotgun sequence.